rnacentral:lncRNA from 1 species
CAUCACAUUUGCAUCAUGCCAGUUUCACUGAGCAACCUGCAAGUGUGCUGCUUCUGCACAACGUUUUACAUACUGAAAACAUUAGUUGAAAUAAAGAUGAGCAUGCAACGCACUGCUGUGGGAUUUUCUUCUCAAUCAGGACUCAUAAAAAACAGAAUUGAGAGUUCUUCAGAUGCCUCCAUUCCUUAUCUAUCUAGCACAAAAAGCAACAUAUGUAUACCAACUUACAGUGCAACCUUGGCUUCAUGGCAAUGCAUUCAUUUUGACAAGAAGCAGCAAAGAGCAACAAGCAUGAACUUUUAAAGCAAGAAGCCCUGACUUCCAGUCAGUCCCUGGGUCAUCACCUAUUAGUAGUGUGACUUGGGUCAAUUAUUUUCUCUGACCUCUCAUUUUCUCUUCCAUAAAAUGGAGAAAUUAAUAAUUUCUUCCUUAAGGGUUCUCAUGCAGAUCAAAUUAAAUAGUGCACAAGAAAGCACUCUGCAAACAGUUAAUUGCUAUAUUCACUGUUCUUUAUUAUUUUAUUCUAGAUGAGACAAACGGCACCCUUUGCUUUUCUUGGUAAAUUCCUGGAUGCUUGCUGACUAGAGUUCUGCAAUCAGAAAAUAUGCAUGCGAGGAGAAUUUUGUAGAAUGUUAUUUAUUAUGCUUCAAUUAUAUAAAUGUCCUAUUGUAGCCUCUCCUUUCUUUCCAUUAAAAAAAAUAUUCUUUUAAAGCAAUUUGUCAGAAAGCUACUAGUGUGACGACACUGGUUUAUUUAAACACUAC